rnacentral:tRNA from 1 species
GAGAGGAUGAGUCUGGUGGCUCAAUCGGUCUGCAAAACUGAUACCGGGCGGAUAAAACCGUCUGAGGCAGGUUCGAUUCCUGCCCUCUCAGCCA